GCAACUGAGGAAGCUCAACAUGUAAAAAAGUUGAUACAGGAAUAUAUUGCUUCUUUCAUCAAAGUUGGAGAUAAGGCAACUGAGGAAGCUCAACAUCUAAAAAAGUUGAUAAAAGACUAUAUUGCUUCUUUCAUCAAAGUAGGAGAUAAGGAAAUAUUCUUCCUCCAUGUCCGGCUAGCAGUGAUGGAUCUGAUCAGGAGGGUGAUGAGAAUGAUAAGUCUGAUAAGGAAAGUGAGGGUGAUGAGAAUGGUAAGUCUGAUAAGGAGAGUGAGGGUGAUGAGGAGUAGUUGUAUCUAUUUGACAUUUUAGACUUCUGUACUUUUGGAAUUGUUUAAUUUGAUCGUAUUUUAGUU